GUCGUCGCAACCGUCGAUAUACGUUUGCCUUUAAAUAUCUUGAAAUAUUAAAAAAAAAAAAAUGCAGAAGUCUGUGUUGUUCAUUCUUUGCAUCGUCGUUCUUUCAGCGAUAGUGGAAGCGAAACCGACACCAACUGAUGCGGCCUUGUGCAAAGUCACAAGGAAUAUUGGAAAGGGGAACCGCAAUAAAAACGAGAUACGCAACAUAUCAAAAUUACUAACGUCCUGCGGAGGCAACGUUGAUCUCAACGUUGGAGAGGGCGACAAUAAUCAUAACAUCAUAGAAUAAUUUUAACAUAUACCUACAUAUAUACUAAAUUAUGUACUUCACAGAGGAAAAAUAUUUGUAUGUGCACAAUAAAGAUAGAAAAUUUUCUAUAGUCAUUAA